CCUACGGGAGGCAGCAGUGAGGAAUAUUGGUCAAUGGACGGAAGUCUGAACCAGCCAUGCCGCGUGCAGGAAGACGGCUCUAUGAGUUGUAAACUGCUUUUGUCCAAGGGUAAACCUGAAUACGUGUAUUCAGCUGAAAGUACUGUAAGAAUAAGGAUCGGCUCACUCGGUGCCAGCCGCCGCGGUAAUACGGAGGAUCGAAGCGUUAUCCGGAUUUAUUGGGUUUAAAGGGUGUGUAGGCGGUUUGAUAAGUUAGAGGUGAAAUGUAUGAGCUUAACUCGGGAACUGCCUCUAAUACUGUUGAGCUAGAGAGUAGAUGCGGUAGGCGGAAUGUAUGGUGUAGCGGUGGAAUGCUUAGAGAUCAUACAGAACACCGAUUGCGAAGGCAGCUUACCAAUCUAUAUCUGACGUUGAGGCACGAAAGCGUGGGGAGCAAACAGGAUUAGAUACCCGGGUAGUC
rnacentral:rRNA from 1 species